CCUUGACUCACCUUACUCUGAUCUUUGCUUCCACAACACAUCUCCUUCAUUGACUCACACUCUCCUGACUCUCUCUUAUCAGGACCCUUGUGAUUACAUUAGCCACUCCAGGAUAAUCCCCCAACUCAAGAUCCUUAACUAAAUCAUAGCUUCAAAGUCCAUUUAGCACGUAAGAUAACAUAUUCACAUGUUCUGUGCAUUAGGAUGUGGAUUUCUUUGGGGGCCGUUAUUCUGCUUACCACAUUGCAGGAACUGUUCUUGAAUGAGAGAGACCAAAAAGACCAAAGGCAAUUCAUGGAAAUUGAUUGGAGCCUGGAUCAAGGCUGGGGGAAAACAGCUACAAAGGACCUUUUGGGGGCCUUUGGGGAAUUUAAGUACGGACUUAAGACUGGAUGGCAUUGUGGAAUUAGUGUUGAUUUUCUAACAGAUGUACUGCCACUGCCGAUAUGGUUGGUUGGAGAAUGUUCUUGUUUUGCGGAGGUGAGGGCUGAAGUAGGUUUCAAGUUUCGUGAUGUCUGCCCCUAUUUUUGGAUGGUUUGACAGAGGGGAAGUGUGUGCAUGUGCUGCAUAUUCAGAGAGGGGGAAGGGUGAAGUGGAUGUGAAGAGGCAUUAAUGGUCAUUGAAUCUAGAUGUUCACUGUAUGGUUCUUUUUGGUAGAUUUGAAAUUCUUAAAAAUGAGGGAAGAAAACCCAAUAAUAAUAAGUGGUAAAUUGGGGCUCAGUUUCCGUGGCCCCUCCUAUCUCCCAGACUUCCCAAGGAGGAGUCCCUGAGAUGGCGGCCUUUAUAUUUUCCAUGAGCACAUAGAACUGGAUUGAGAAUCUACCCUGAGUCCCCCAGACACGCACACUUCUUCCUUCAAACUCUUUUUCCAGAACUGAACUUGCUCAUUUAUGAUGUUCUUCUUAGGUCCAAGCCCAACUCUGCCUUCUUAAUGAAAUUUCUUUAUUGGUACUGAAUGCCUUGGAAACGAGAAGUGCAUUUCAGGCUGUUACCGAAGGUCUUUUCAUCUCUCCCCAAUCUCUGUUGCUUGUCAGGAGAUGUUUCCACUCUCUCCUUGGCCAGGGAGUUCAGGAAUUAAGAAGGAGAAUGAAGCCUGCCUCCCCUAUGGGAGCCUCCAUCAAGAAAUGACUCUGCCCUCACAGUGGUGGCCUUUCCUGAUCAACAGCAAAUCUGUGUCCUUUGGCUUUUGAUUUGCCCUGUGUUCUCCCAACUCAACUGACCUUUGAGGCAGGGCCAGUUCCCUUUACACUGAAGUGAUGGAUGGCUGCUGUGAGUAUCUUCACUCACUGCCUCCCAUAGCGCUCCUUUCUCCCCUGCCUACCUCCUCUGUCCACAGGCCUGGUAUUCAGUUCCCAUAAUUUGUUCGCAGAACUUUGCAUCUUUAUCUCUCAGGUUCAAAUGUGAAUGGACCUGAGGAAGCUCAGCAUUGCCAAAAGGCUGAAGGGCAUGCCUAACGAAUGUGAGAAACUGUGAGAACCAGGCAGAGGAGCCAGAGGAGAGGUGCGCACCUGAGCUGGAUGUGCUGGAUGAAGGAGUGGCCAGGUGACUUCAUUAACCUCUCCAGAAGAAGAAACGCUCAGUCUUAAAGCUCAUAAUGGCAAAAGCCACAGAGCUGGGAUCCAGGAUGCUAGAGACGUGCCCAGCAACUCUGGAGGCAGCGAGAAACCAGCGAGCGCAAGGCCCUCAGCAGGUGAUGGUGGGCGAGCUUCCCAGGCCUGCUGGAACAAAAUACCGCCAACUGGGCGGCUUCAGGCCCCAGAAAUGUAUCCAUCCGCAGUUCUGGAGGCUGGACGUCUGACAUGAAGGCGCUGACAGGGACCUACAGGGAUCGUAUACUGAAUGAUUAAAAGUUGUUAAAACCCCAGAUGAUUGAACCUACUGAUUAAGCAACUGCAUGGAUGUCCAAGUCAAUUAACAGGGCUCUGAUGGUCGCCAAGUGUUAUAACCCUGGACUGGAAAGGCAAGGGAUUUAUUCAAGCUGGAGUGCUUCUCAUGCUUCCUCUACCAGAGCUUGAUCUGAGCCAAGUCUUGAUUAACCAUGACCUCAUCUUCAUCAUUGACAUCAUGGGACUGCAACCUUCUGACCACCUCCAUCCAUGGCCAUUUGAGGACCAUCAUAGAUGGCACAGGAUGUAUUACAGUAUGAACUCUCUGGAGUAUUCAGAAAACUAUAAAUGACUACAAAGCCUUUUCUUUCAAUCCAAGACUUUAAAAUUGCUGCAAAAUAAGAUGUUAAGUAGAGGGAUUGAGAUGAGUUCAGCUUUCUGUCUGAUGAUACGGUUGCUCAAUUUGGUAAGGCCAAGUCUAGAAAUGGUAGUAAGGGUAAUGUCUCAAUCACUCUACUCAGACCCCAACUUGGAGUUAAUGAGUAUCUCUGGGAUUGAAGGUCAGAAUCAUUACUUUAUUACUGAUGUAUUUGAGGUUAUCUCAAGAGAAUGAGCAGACUGGUGGCAGGCACUAGAAUCUUGAACCCCAUCCAAGUCUACACUGAUCUUAAAAGUUCCAGUUCCAAAGUUACCAGUUCUCUAAUGGGAGAGACAAUCCUAAAACCCAGUCCCAGUAGUCUGUUAGAAUUAUAGGGAGUCAUAUAGCUCUUCAAAUCCAUGUGUCGAUAGCUGGCUCAACUAGUGGUGAGCUUCCCAUCCCUGGAGAUAUUCAAGCAGAGGCAGGAAGGUCAUCUGUCAAGUAGGCCAUGGAUCAGAUUCUUGAAGAGGCAGAGGAGGGAAUCCAUGAAUUCUCUUGUAACUCUGAAAGUCCGCAUCUAAUAAAGGUGGACACAGACAAUCCAGUAGGAAAAAAUUCACUGUGAAUUAUGCCUAAUAUAUAUAUCUGCUAACACCUUUCUUCAGAUCAUGCUCUAGUGUCUAAGUUUACUUUCUAAUUCACAAAUCCAAGUGCACCACUUCAUUGCUAAAGUCAACAACCAUCCCCUUUUAUAGUUCUCUGUGGUCCACCCUGACUACAAAACCUUUGCAAUCAGACCUUCCUCUUUCCCUUUGGACCCCAUCCCUUACCAUUCCCCUUCUUAUCUCAGAGCAUGACAUAAACUUGGAUGCCACCUAUAUCAGCUAGCUAUUGCAGUAAAACAAAUGACCCCCAAACAUGGUGGCUUACAACAAUAAACAUUUCAGAAUUCAGAAGUGGUUAGCUGUGUGGCUCUGGCUUGAGGUCUCUGGGGAGGUUACAGGAAAGAUGUCAGGCAGGUCUCAGCUAUCUGAACACUUGGCUGGGCUGGGGAAUCUGCUUCCAAGAUGGCGCUCUCACAUGUUUCCGGUUAUUGUCUUCAAGUUCUUCUUCAGAGGGGCUUCUCCAUGGGCUGCUUGAGCAUCAUUACAACAUGUGGACUGACUUCCCCCAGAGUGUGAAAUCCAAGAGGCACCAAGACAGGAGCCAUGAUAUUUUUGAUAGCCUAGCCUUGGAAACACACACAAUCAUUUUGGCAGUAUUUCACAGGUUACACAGAUUGGCUUUUUUCAGAAUGAGAGGGGACUACACAAGGGCUUGGAUACUGGGAGGCAGAGAUCAUUGGGGGCUUUCUUGGAGGCUGCCUGUUGCACUCAUAACUCUGAACAUGCUGUUCUCCUCGAUUGCCCUUGCCUCUUCUCUGCCUAGUAUUCUCCUAUCCAUCCUUCCAGAAUCCUUUCAAAUUCCACCAGCUUU
ensembl:lncRNA